rnacentral:rRNA from 1 species
UGCCCAAGAGACUGGGAUAACACCUGGAAACAGAUGCUAAUACCGGAUAACAACACUAGACGCAUGUCUAGAGUUUGAAAGAUGGUUCUGCUAUCACUCUUGGAUGGACCUGCGGUGCAUUAGCUAGUUGGUAAGGUAACGGCUUACCAAGGCAAUGAUGCAUAGCCGAGUUGAGAGACUGAUCGGCCACAUUGGGACUGAGACACGGCCCAAACUCCUACGGGAGGCAGCAGUAGGGAAUCUUCCACAAUGGACGAAAGUCUGAUGGAGCAACGCCGCGUGAGUGAAGAAGGGUUUCGGCUCGUAAAGCUCUGUUGGUAGUGAAGAAAGAUAGAGGUAGUAACUGGCCUUUAUUUGACGGUAAUUACUUAGAAAGUCACGGCUAACUACGUGCCAGCAGCCGCGGUAACACGUAGGUGGCAAGCGUUGUCCGGAUUUAUUGGGCGUAAAGCGAGUGCAGGCGGUUCAAUAAGUCUGAUGUGAAAGCCUUCGGCUCAACCGGAGAAUUGCAUCAGAAACUGUUGAACUUGAGUGCAGAAGAGGAGAGUGGAACUCCAUGUGUAGCGGUGGAAUGCGUAGAUAUAUGGAAGAACACCAGUGGCGAAGGCGGCUCUCUGGUCUGCAACUGACGCUGAGGCUCGAAAGCAUGGGUAGCGAACAGGAUUAGAUACCCUGGUAGUCCAUGCCGUAAACGAU